CUACUUUUAUAAAAUGAUGAAAGUGAAUAAAUUGUAUUUCUGUGAUCUGUGUUUGAUUUCUGUCUUUUCUCCUGUCAUCCAGAUGUUCAGAGGGAGAUGGCACAUCUGGUCCAGCUGAUGGAAGGUCUUGAAGUUCUCUGACUGGCCUCGACUGAAGAUGGUCGUCUCACUGGAUUUAAGGUUCAGAUGCUCAGUAACAAACUCCACCAAUGAGCCAACAGAUGCACAAUGAGGGACGUCUGCAGAGACUGAGAAAGAGUCUCACCACAUCCUGACAUGAGGAAAAAGACUUUAUUGAAGACUACAAUGAGAAAAACUAUCAGACAGCAGACGGCUGCAUUCAAGUCUGUAGCUGCUGAAUUCAUGGAUGAAUCAUCUGGCACUAGAGAAGAAGACCAUCAAACAUCCACGUCAGCUGAUGGAGGUCCAAGAGUCUCACCGAACAACCAACCUACAGAGUGAAGACCUCAAAUCUGAUUGGACGGCCUCCUAUUCAGCCACAUGUGUGAACAAAUGCCUCUAAGCUGAUUUGUUUUCUAAAAUAAAUCUAGUUUGAGUCCUAAUCUAUGCCUGAGUGUUUGCUUCUUUACACUGCUGUUAACAGUUUAGGAUGUUAGAUUGUUCCAGAUAAGACAAGUACAAGAUUCUUCAGAG
ensembl:lncRNA